UCCGAGGUUUGGCUGGUUAGCCUCGACAGUUAGCCCCUGCUGGUAGAUGUCGUAAGUGCACCGUCACGGGGGCGAUAAGAAACCACCGACGCCAUUCAGAACUAGCCGUUUAUUCUGACAAAAUAAAUCGAUAGCGUGCAGUCAUAUUGUGGUAAAUGUUUUGCCACAGCCACCGACUGAUUUUAAAGUAACUUUUUUUUUCUCCGUCAGCACUGCGAUUCUGCAGGACCUUUUCAUCAAUGGAAAUCCAUUUUCUAGUCAUUCAGUCUCGCAUAUAAACAUUUUUCUUAUCGGUAUAUGUUAUGGCCGGGGCAGCCAGCCGCGCGUGGACGAAUACGUUUCCUAAUUGUCGUUUUGUAUUCAUUUCCAGUCUGGAGUUCACCUGUUUAGUUUUUAUUCGGAGCGAGAAGCAUCGAAGCCGAAAUUCCACUGUUGUUGUACUCGAAAAAGGUUCGGGCCGUUGCACGCAGUUGGCAUAUUGGAACAAAGAAACACUAAUUAAAUGGUUCAAAAUGAGGACUCAAUAGCAACGUGACAACUGACAACUAGUCCCCGCUGCCACCGAGACGAAAUUAGAUGAGUUCUCCCCAUCCAUUGUCUAUCAGCCUGCACCACAUUUCACAUUUUCUAAAGUGUCUAAUUUCACCUUUUUCUAAUUAUCCAAUCCGGGGGGAAAUACGCUAAAAGCUGACUUGUCCUGCGUCAGCACUGGCUGCAGACUGUUGUGAAUACCACGUAAGGUAUCACUAUGGUUUCAGAGCCACGGUGAGGACUGAAUAAUUAAUAGAAGCCUUCUCAUUGACAGAAGUACUUCGGGAGCCAUUAGCUCAGGUACCUGACCAGCGCGGGCAUAUUAGUGAGAAAGAAGUGAUUCUGGAGAGAUUGAUUUCCCCACAAACUGACUGAUCAGAAGUCUGUGCGUUAAAGGAACAGCUUAGCCCAAAUGUAUUUAUUUUUUUUAAUCCUCAGGCCAUCCAAAAUGUAGAUGUGACUGUUUUCGCGUUGGCGCAGGUUUGGAGAAAUACAUCCUCUGCCAUCUCAGUGAAAGUCCAAACAGCUGAUAAAAGAACAAUAACCCAUAACCAGUUCAUCAAUUAACAUCUUGUCAAUUAAAAAAAAAAAUCUAUAAUCCAAAUAAAAUUGCUUGCUCCGUUAAAAAAAACUGAAUCAGGAGAGAAAUAUACGUGAAAACAAAUAUGUUGGUCGAUUCUGAUGUGAGAGGAGAACGGGGAUGGAUUUUUUUUUUCACCGGAGAAAGCAUUAUUAUGGAUUAUGGACUUGUAUUUUAGCCAGAAGCAAUGGUUACAAUUAAAACUCCUUAAUGUGGAUUUGUAUACAAACACAUGGCUUUCUGCUUAACAAGGCCCACAAUAGGCUUUUAUGUUAAAAACUUAGUGAACCUUUGAGUAACUUGGCAUGCCUUGGCACAUUGUUCUACUUCACAUGUGUUGUCGAGAGACGCUAAACCUAAUGAGCUGCCUCGCUGCCUACAUAAGCAGCUACUUUUUAAGGCAGCAUCCUAACCGAAAGGAAAAUUGACUUUCUUAAUGGAUGUUCUGAGCGUAAUUGUGAACGAUUAACUGUUGCGUGUGUUUGCGAUGCGUAAUCAAAAUAUAAUAACCCGCUCGUCGCGCGACUAGCGAUCUGCGCGGGAGACUUGACUUAUUUAUCGUCAUUAAACCGCAUCUAUAUUUGCACAUUGCGCUCGUUCAAUGCCAAGCGGUUGGCAUUCGAGGUUGUUUUCCAUGUGCGUUCCCUGGAUUCGAACCCGUGACCUUGGUAUAUCUGGAGCCAUGCUAAGUUAAUCUACUGUUCUAAAAUAAACCUACUUCAAAAGGCCUUUAGAAAUAAAAGCUUUCAGAGGGUUCAACGGACGGGCACAUCAAUUCUAAGCAUGUAAAACUGAAUAGGGCGCUUUUAAAUGAAAUGCGCCAAUUGUUGAUUCCAAUAGAGUUUGAUUUUAACAUGUUGAUAAGCUACUUCUGUAGUGAAUAAAAUCGGUGAUUUGCAGAGCGCCAUAGAACAAAAUGCACAAUGGCAUUUAAUGAAACUGGAAUGAAACAAAUAAAUCAGGUUAUCGACUGAAUAACGCAUCGCAUUUCUAAGAGAUGUACAGAACCAUUAAAAACACUCUUAACAGAAUACUGGAUGUCAGCAAAGGUUUACACAAGUGUAAAAAAACGUACAUUCCUGAUAAUGGUUAACUUUACCAGGAAAUGAUCUUUGCAGUCACUUCAAUCAUGUUCAAAUUAGUCUCAAUUUUUCCGCUUGCACAUGUUAAUAAAUGACUUCAAGUCAGAGUCAGAAUCUCCAAUCGAGCCCCUAACAGCCUAUGCACUUUGAUACAAUAUUCCAGUUUAUAUCCGCUACUUAGAAAACCCAUAUAUACAAAAUUGAAACAUCUAACCUGUGUAAAUUAGUAUCAAAGAUGAAUAAUUUUUAAUGCACUGUGGGGAAAAAAAAAAAAGAUAGAACGUUCACUCAAAAUGUUUUUUUGAAUCCCACUGUGCUGUUUUUCUUUUGAUUUCUUAUGGAAACGUGGGCUGGAUGGAUGUGCUUGAUCAUUGCUUUCGUAACUCUUGUAGCGUCUCACACAACACAGUGUAACAAAAAUGUGACAUCAUAUUAAAAUAUGUUUUAUAAACUUUUAUCAUUUCUAGACCUUGCAUCAUUCCUCAUUGAUGGACGCUGCUGUGGUUUAGAUCAAAAAUGCAUAAAUAAAUCAGCACAUACCAAACGAUCUGUAAGAAGGGACAAAGCGAUAGUGACUAACAAAACAGUUACAUUUGUUUUGCGACGUGACCGUCUUAUUGGAUCUAAUAAUAAAGUCUACGAUUAAAGCCUUUGUGAAAAUUGACUUGUGCCUUGUUCAUAAACAAGUCCACUGUAAAAUGGAGUGAACGAAAGACCUAGUUCUUACUGGCGUGGUCUGGUUCUUCAUUAAAAAAAGUAAAUUCGCUCUUUCCUAAAGCAAUGCAAACACAGCUAUUCCACAACUUGGUUCUGCAUAGCGUGUUGUUGUCUUCUGAGCCAUCUUUAUCAUUUGAUUUUUGUGUAGACCUGUGUACACCUCUCUCGUAAACACUACAUGCGUUAAUCGGUGGGCGGAGCUCAACAGGCAGCGCUGUAGAAGCAGGCGUUGAUCUUCUUCUGUGGAGACGGUGCCUGUCCACUCUAUUACAUUAUAGAGUAGAACAUUCCAAAAGCUGUUGUUUUGGAGCUUCAAAACGAGCUGUUUUCAGACUAACAACUAAGGUCUCAAUACUGAAACUUGCAGGAUGUUUUUAUAGCGCAAUAUAUGUCUUAUAUGUCAAAAGAUCAAGGGGAUUUUGGUUUCUCAGUUCGAGGCUCCUUUAAAGGAAGUCCACCAAAAUUGAAAAUGAAUCUGAACAGAUCUGGAGAAAUGCAGCAUUAUAUCACUUGCUCCAGUCUAUCGAUAAACAUAUUGUGAAGUGAAAAAAAAAAUGCAUUUGUAAGAAACAAACCCACCAUUAAGAUGUUUUUCAACUAUGAACCUUUGUUUCCAGCUAAAACUUGAAUCUUCUAUUCAUGAUCCUCUAUUCAUGCUUUCUCCAUCUAUAUCUUGGAUGGCCUUAGGGUGAGUACAUGCUCAGCACUUUUUAUUUUUGGGCGAACUAUCAAAUCGGGUUAAAAAAGUUUCCCUGAGUAAUUUUUUUUCUCAAUGCAGAAAGACAGAGAAGAAGAAUGCAAUCGAAUAACACCAGAUUUUAUCAGUCAUGAAUUGCGCUACUUUUAAAAGUAACCUCUCAAGCUAUAUUGACUCCGCUUUAAAAAAACGUCCACAAAGAAUAACCACUGAAUAAAAUGUUAAGCUAA